rfam:Triticum aestivum genome assembly, contig: Triticum_aestivum_CS42_TGACv1_scaffold_514213_6BS
UUCGUACUCCCUCCGUCCGUAAAUACUUGUCAUCAAAAUGGAUAAAAAGAGAUGUAUCUAGAACUAAAAUACAUCUAGAUACAUCCUCUUUUAUCCAUUUUCUUGACAAGUAAUUCCGGACGGAGGGAGUAUGUA